AUUGAACGCUGGCGGCAGGCCUAACACAUGCAAGUCGAGCGGAUGAAGGGAGCUUGCUCCUGGAUUCAGCGGCGGACGGGUGAGUAAUGCCUAGGAAUCUGCCUGGUAGUGGGGGAUAACGUCCGGAAACGGGCGCUAAUACCGCAUACGUCCUGAGGGAGAAAUUGGGGGAUCUUCGGACCUCACGCUAUCAGAUGAGCCUAGGUCGGAUUAGCUAGUUGGUGGGGUAAAGGCCUACCAAGGCGACGAUCCGUAACUGGUCUGAGAGGAUGAUCAGUCACACUGGAACUGAGACACGGUCCAGACUCCUACGGGAGGCAGCAGUGGGGAAUAUUGGACGAUGGGCGAAAGCCUGAUCCAGCCAUGCCGCGUGUGUGAAGAAGGUCUUCGGAUUGUAAAGCACUUUAAGUUGGGAGGAAGGGCAGUAAGUUAAUACCUUGCUGUUUUGACGUUACCAACAGAAUAAGCACCGGCUAACUUCGUG
rnacentral:rRNA from 1 species